ACGGAGCAGCGAGCGGGCCGCCUCGCGCUCUGCCCUGAGGGUCCGAAUAGUCAGAGCUGCGGGAACCGAAGCGCCGGAGUCGCUCAGGAGCUAAGGAGCGGCCAUCCCUCUCCCGCCUUGACCCUUAACCGCGUCCUCUCUAAGGCCCAGGCGCGGUGCAGGCGCCCGCGCGCUCACGAGCCCGCCGCUUGCGGCGGUCACGCGCACGCACGCUCGUGCGCCCGUUCCCUGAGAACCCGGAAGUGCGAGGGAGAGGCGAGCCACGUGGGUGGAGCUGGAGCGCAGCUCGCAUGGGGGAGUCUAUCCCGCUGGCAGCCCCGGUCCCGCUGGAACAGGCGGUGCUGGAGACGUUCUUCUCUCACCUGGGUAUCUUCUCUUACGACAAGGCCAAGGACAAUGUGGAGAAGGAACGAGAGGCCAACAAGAGCGCGGGGGGCAGCUGGCUGUCGCUGCUGGCGGCCUUGGCCCACCUGGCCGCGGCAGAGAAGGUCUAUCACAGCCUCACCUACCUGGGGCAGAAACUAGGGGGCCAGUCUUUCUUCAGCAGGAAGGACUCCAUCCGCACCAUCUACACUUCCCUGCAUAAUGAGCUAAAGAAGGUGGUGACUGGCCGUGGUGCCCUAGGGGGGACUGCACCUCACGUGGAAGAGCUCCUUUCCCACCUGUCCGAGCAGCUCUGCUUCUUUGUUCAGGCUCGGAUGGAGAUCGCAGACUUCUAUGAGAAGAUGUACACCCUCAGCACACAGAAGUUCAUCAAUGCCGAAGAGCUCGUUGGCCUUUUAGACACCAUCCUCAAGAAAUACAGCUCCAGAUUUCACCACCCCAUCCUCAGUCCUCUGGAAAGCAGUUUCCAGCUGGAGGUCGACGUACUGAGUCAUCUCCUGAAGGCCCAGGCUCAGGUCUCCGAGUGGAAGUUCCUCCCGUCUCUGGUUAACUUACACAGCGCUCACACCAAGCUGCAGACUUGGGGCCAGAUCUUUGAAAAGCAACGGGAGACCAAGAAACAUCUGUUUGGAGGGCAGUCCCAGAAGGCCAUUCAGCCCCCACACCUUUUCCUUUGGCUGCUGAAACUCAAAAACAUGCUUCUUGCCAAAUUUAGCUUCUACUUUCACGAGGCACUGAGCCGACAAACGACUGCUUCAGAAAUGAAAACGCUGACUGCAAAAGCCAACCCAGACCUCUUUGGAAAGAUUUCCAGCUUCAUCAGGAAAUACGACGCUGCCAACGUGUCCUUAAUCUUUGACAACCAGGGUUCCGAGAGCUUUCAGGGUCAUGGCUACCACCACCCCCAUUCCUACAGAGAGGCCCCAAAGGGCGUGGAUCAGUAUCCAGCCGUGGUAUCUCUGCCCAGCGACAGGCCUGUCCUGCACUGGCCCAAUGUCAUCAUGAUCAUGACAGACCGCACGUCCGACCUGAACAGCUUGGAGAAAGUGGUCCACUUCUAUGAUGACAAAGUUCAGAGCACCUACUUCCUUACCCGCCCAGAACCCCACUUUACCAUUGUUGUCAUUUUCGAGUCAAAGAAAUCUGAAAGAGACUCCCACUUUAUUUCCUUCCUUAGUGAGAUCUCCCUUGCCCUUAAGAACCCCAAGGUUUUUGCUAGUCUGAAACCUGGAUCCAAAGGUUAGCAGGUGAUUUGUGUGAAAGGCUUUCAAGACUGGAAAUUGUGUUCUUAAUUGCUCUAACGAUCUCCAGUGGUCUGUGAUUAGAGUUUCCAUCUACCUGUGCUUCUUUCAGAUCUAAAUUAAAGACACAUUCUCCCUAAUUGUGUUGCAUCCUUUAUAAGCAGUUAAGGCCAGCUCAGUUACAUAUCCAAAGAGUAAGCGAGGUGAACAUGGCUGCCGGCUGCCGGUCUCCGUGGUACAGCAAGAACUAGAAAAGCAUCCCCCUUUACUUUCACCUCAGAGAGGAGGGAAUGUCAUGGGAAGAGGCAGUACAGAGCAGAGGCGAACAGGAUGGCCGUCAGCAGCACGUGAGCAGGGGAGGGGAGGGGGGCGAUCUGAGGGGGACCCGGAGAGUGACUGUGGGGAACGAAAGGCACAGUCACGGCUAAGAGGAAAACAACACGUCUGAUGACCAUGACCUGACCAUGACCGACAAGAAUGCAAGACAGGACAAGGCUGAGCACCGAGGCAUGAAAAGAUGAAGUGGGACCCCGCUGUACAUUAUUCUAUGGAUUGCUCAAGGGGCACCAAAGUCAGAUUACAUUGUGUGAAAAACUGUUGAACAAUGGCGUUUACGCCACACUUGAACAUGGAGCUCUACAAAGGGCCAUUCAAUGGAUUGAAAUAAUUUACAGAACACUCAUCAGGAAACAGCCUUACCCCGAGUGCCAGAGACCAACACUGGUUACAUUCCAAGGCCUGGAACUCAGAUCCUCCUGCCUUUGGAUUCAGACGCUUCUGACUCAUCCAGGCUACACUAAGCCUGAAGCACUGUGCAACGUGCAGGGCAGAGCGGUGAUGCCUUCAUUACAAAUGGUGCAGCAUUGGAUUUUCAAGUAAGUCUAAGUGUUUCUAUUGUCUUUAAAAUGACACAGGAUAUGUCCAGUUAUUAAAAAAAAGGAUGAAAUUACAAAAUACAAAUGCCCGUGUUAAUUUAGCUAGUCUCAGACAUUACAUUCGAGAACACAGAAAAGCCAAAGGGUCUCCAGUUAAAAGCACACGACUAAGGAAAGUUAAGGAUUGUUGACUUUUGUCACUAAUCCGUUUUCUCUUUCUAAUCACCUCCCGUAUGCUCUUACAUUGUGCAAGACUUGUCUGCUGGACCCUGGGAAGGUGGGGUGGGCCCUACUGUAGGGUUUGUUUUUGGAAGAACAGCAGGUUUCGGCCGAAGGGCUGGGGGCUUCAGCUGCACGCCCAUUCUGGGCGCCACCAUAGGCUUGAAAGUACUCAUUGUGUCACUGGAGGAGCUAGUGCUACGUCGAAUCUGAGGCUCCGAGCUCCUGAGGGCAACGUUGUGCAAAGGGCUGAGAGAUUCCGUGGACGUGGCAGGGGUGGGAGAGUUUUUCACUUGUUCUAAGGUAUCCAGCACCACAUCGGGGGCGUGCUUUGCUGUACUCUGUCUCUCCAGUUCUCGGAGUUCAUUCAAAGCAGUGUUCAUUGUCUCUUCAAUAUCCUGUUGAAAGAGAACCAGAAGUGAGAGAUGGGCUUUAUAUGUUUUAAAAAAAUUGGCACAUUAUCAGUUUUUCAGGUAAUAAAGGGGGAAUUGCAAAAUAUUUGUUUUAAAAACGUGAGGUGUGCACCAUCGACAGAUGAAUGGAUAAGUGAAAUGUGCUGUAUACGUACAAUGGAUUAUUACUGGGCCUUAAAACGGAAAUCCUGCCACAUGCUACAUUAAAGGCAUUAUGUUAAGUGAAGUAAGCCUGUCACAAAAAGAAAAAUACUGCAUGAUGCCACUUAUAUGAGGUGGGCACAUUCACAGAAGCAAAAAGUAUUUAGAAUAGUGGUGGCCAGGGCAUGGUGGGGAGGGGAAAAAGGGAGUUGUUCUUAGAUGGGUACAGAGUUUUAGUUUUGCAGAAUGAAAAAGUUCUGGAGAUCUGUUACACAGCCAUGUGAAUACACUUUACUGACCUAUACACUUAGAAAUCGUAAAGAGGGUCAGUUUUACAUUAUGUUGUUUUUUUUAGAAUUUAUUUUUGGCUGGGUUGGGUCUUCGUUGCUGCACGCAGGCUUUUCUCUAGUUGCGGCGAACGGGGGCUACUCUUCAUUGUGGUGCGCGGGCUUCUCAUUGCUGUGGCUUCUCUUGUUGCAGAGCACGGGCUCUAGGCACGCCAGCUUCAGUAGUUGUGGCGCACUGGGCUUAGCUGCUCCACGGACUGUGGGAUCUUCCCAGACCAGGGAUCGAACCUGUGUCCCCUGCAUCGGCAGGCGGAUUCUUAACCACUGCACCACCAGGGAAGUCCCAUAUUAUGUUUUUUAUACACUGCCCCCCCCACCAACACACACACACAUGGUGGAGUACUGUGUGAGAUAGGGUGGGUGGAGAACCACUGCCCUGUUCUGAUGGAAAUACCUCUUCUCCAUAUUCCCAGGCUUCUUCCACUCACCUGGAGCAUUAGCCUGUGGCCCUGCACAGCAGCAACUGAUUUCCAUAUCUGCCUCCUCCACUGAAUUAUAAGCACCUUCAUGCAGCGGCUGACUGACCAUUGAUUUAACUCUGUGUCCAUAACACCUAGCAUGGGAGCUGCCAUACAGUAAGUGCUCAAUAAAGGCUUGCUAAAUGAAUAAACAAAGAUCCAGUGAUCACAUGUGGAUAUGUCAAUUUUUUUUUAAAAAGCUCUAUCAGGGAUUCCACUGAUUUGUUUACUAAAAGAAAUUGCAUGUUUUUGGUAUGAACACCAUGAUGGCAGGCUUACUUGUCCUCAUGGGAAAAUCUGAAGAUGAGAGAUGGAAAGAUAAAUAAAGGACACAGCUGGAAACCAUAUUGUAAGGAUGACAUCACUUUUCAAGUAAUUAUUUUCAUAUGUGAUUUCCAUUUGACGCUAAAUAUAUGGAUUUGUUUUUUACAAGUAUUUGCCCCAGAGAGAACGUGUAGAGCCUGGUUUAUCUGUCGAGUUUUUGUUUUUAUGAUUUACAAUGACAGGAUUUUGGUUCUAGAAGCAAAAGGGUUAAAACAGACCUUAUUAUACCUUCCCACCACUAAACUCCUACUCCCUGUCUCUCUAACCUAAAUGCUGUUUCACCUACUUAUUACAAGGAAUGAUGUUAUGGAUUAUAGCCAAAUAUCAUUGGUUCUAAAGAGACCUCAAAGGACUCUGCAUUGCACUUCAAAUAAAAAAAAAACCAAAAAGGUCAAGUCUUUUUGGUUUUUGCUGAAAAACUGUUGUGCACUUAAAAUUGGUUUAAUUUUGUAAAAACACAUUAAACUCUCCACACAAUCUAAUUUGCUAUCCAAAAUUCUUUUUAGUUAGGACAGUGAAAAUAGCUUGGAAAUUUGUCAUAUCAAAUGCAGGUUUCCUUGAGCACUUUUUAUUAAAAAUAAUCCAUCUUUAAUACUUCCCCAUGUUUGUUUCAUUAAUUUCUCACUUCCUUCCUUUUUUGAUCUAUUCCAUUUUUAAGCUUCAGUGAUACCUGGAAGACACUUUACUGAAAUGGUGAACCCUGAAUCUAUUCACCUCCUUUUUCACUGGCCAUACACAUAUUUUCUUCUUUUUUUUUUUUCCAUUGAAGUAUACUCGAUUUACAAUAUUGUGUUGGUUUCAGGUGUACAGCAUAGUGAUUCAGUUUUUUUUUCCUGUCAUACAUAUAUUUUCUGAUGGUUUGUGUUGUAAAAAGACCCAGAGGGAAAUAAAUGGUAGAAUGAACGGUGGAAAAAUCCAUUAAUACUGUUUUACUUUGUCAAUUCUUAUUUUUAAAUUAAUUAAUUAAUUUUAUUUAUUUAUUUUUGGCUGUGUUGGGUCUUCGUUGCUGUGCGUGGGCUUUCUCUAGUUGCAGCGAGCGGGGGCUACUCUUCGUUGCGGUGCGCAGGCUUCUCAUUGCGGUGGCUUCUCUUGUUGCAGAGCACGGGCUCUACAUGCGCGGGCUUCAGUAGUUGUGGCUCACGGGCUCUAGAGCGCAGGCUCAGUAGUUGUGGCGCAUGGGCUUAGUUGCUCCGCGGCAUGUGGGAUCUUCCCGGACCAGGACUUGAACCCGUGUCCCCUGAAUUGGCAGGCGGAUUCUUAACCACUGCGCCACCAGGGAAACCCUACUUUGUCAAUUCUGAUCAUUAGAAAAAACUACAAGGCCCUUCUCUGCAGUCACUGUUGGGAAGUAAAGACACACAUCCAUUCAGGAGUGACAGAGGAGCCAAACUUGCUGUUCUUCAAACAGCCAACCAUCAUUUUCUCACUUCAUUUACUGAGUAAUCCACCAUGUCCUAAGAUGAAAGCGUCACUUUCAUCAUACACUACAAAUGUUGUGUUUCAGGGCUCUCCAUUCCGUUCCAUCAGUUUGUCUGUUUUACUAGCUCUGGCAUGCACUUAGGAUCUGGUAGGGCUAGUCCUUCCUCAUUCUUCUUCUUUUUUAGAAUUUUCCUGGCCAUUCAGUAAGGAUGUGUUUGACUGUCCUGGGUCCUAAGUUUCUGCCGUGUCUUUGUUUAAAUCACUAUGAACCUAAUACACUUGGGCCCUUCCAGUAUCACAUGGACUUAAAUUGAAGAAUGGGUUAAUUUCUUUUCUGUUGUCUUUAGUUGAUUCUGUACAAAAGACAUGGCUCCAGAAAGUAACUCCUGUACGCCUCCUCCAUCACACACCGGUACUUACCAUGCAAUAUUCUAUCCAAAGCAGCCUACCUGAGCGAUUGUCUCUGGGUCCAGUGGCUUGUGGUCGUUGAAGCCUGUGUAUUGCCCUGAUGAUGUGGACCUUCUAAUAGGAGGGCUGUCAAUCUUCUUGAGGGAGUCGUGGCGGCUGAUGUUGGUCAAGCUGCCGUGACCCGGCCGACGCCUCCUCUCGGGACUGUCAUUAUUGAGGCCACGGUUCUGUAGCAGGCCCCGGGGGUGACUGCCCAGGCUUGGGGACCCCAGGUCAAUUGAGGAGUUGGAAAGACCAUGUGGGGGAUGGAGAGGGCAAUGGCCAUCACUGGUCCUGCCAGGACGCCUCACUGGAGGGGGUGGCUCUCCUCUUUUUCUUUGCCUAGACAGAGACAGAGAGCGAGAGGAUAGGAGAGGUUCUCACACAGGGUAAUUCUGCAAGGCUGUGGAUGCCACGGCCCCUCAGAGCCCCUGGAGAAGUGGAGGUUCAGGAGCCUGGUGACCACUCCACCUACCUGGCUAAAUAGCCAUCAGGAUGACGGUCUGUUGGGGAGUUCAUGUCCUUGGAUGAAGACUUGUCUUCAGUCACGGGCCCACUGCUGGCCUCACUGUCGGCUUUUUGGCUUAGAGUGUCCGAAAACGUAUCAUCCCUGAAACGAUGAGAAUCAAGAGUGAGGGUCUUUUGCUAGACGAAUGGGGACAAAAGAAUAAGUGAUGGCGUCUACGUAUGUAAGUCUUUCUCUUACUAACGUCACUUUUUUCUUUUCACUAUAAGAAUAAUAACGUUUCAUGGCAGAUAAAUUGGAAAAUUCCAAAAUUCCGAUAAAAAUCGCCCAUAAUAUAACGUAACAUCCAGAGACAACUACUGUUUGAAUUCUAGAAAACAUCCUUCUCUGCUUUUCUUCUCUGCCUGGGAUACAUAUCUACAAGGAUGUCCACAGUAUCAAAAACAAAUUCUGGGUAUCACCUGCGAAACAAGCAUACCUACUCAAACGACCAGAUUCAAAAAUUAUAUCUUCUAGAGAUCAAAAAAUAUUCAAGGGAACAAUGGAGACACAGGUUCGAGCCCUGGUCUGGGAAGAUCCCACAUGCCACGGAGCAACUAAGCCCGUGUGCCACGACUACUGAGCCCACGUGCCACAACUACUGAAGCCCGUGAACCUAGAGCCCGUGCUCCGCAACAAGAGAAGCCACCACAGUAAGCAUGCGCACCACAACGAAGAGUAGCCCACACUCUCCACAACUAGAGAAGGCCCGCGCGCACCAAUGAAGACCCAACGCAGCCAAAAAUAAAUAAA